rnacentral:ncRNA from 1 species
AUGAUCAGUAGCUAGUCCGAGAGGAUGAUCAGCCACACUGGGACUGAGACACAGCCCAGACUCCUACGGGAGGCAGCAGUGGGGAAUUUUCUGCAAUGGGCGAAAGCCUGACGAAGCAAUGCCGCGUGAAGGAAGAAGGCCCACAGGACAUGAACUUCUUUUCUCGAAGAAGAAACAAUGACGGUAUCUAAGGAAAAAUCAUCGGUUAACUCUGUGCCAGCAGCCGCGGUAAGACAGAGGAUGAAAGCGUUAUCCGGAAUGAUUGGGCGUAAAGCGUCUGUAGGUGGCUUUUCAAGUCCGUCGUCAAAUCCCAGGGCUCAACCCUGGACAGGCGGUGGAAACUACCAAGAUGGAGUACGGUAGGGGCAGAGGGAAUUUCCAGUGGAGCGGUGAAAUGCGUUGAGAUCGGAAAGAACACCAAUGGUGAAAGCACUCUGCUGGCCCGACACUGACACUGAGAGAUGAAAGCUAGGGGAGAAAAUGGGAUUAGAUACCCCAGUAGUCCUAGCCAUAAACGAUGGAUACUAAGUGUUGUGUGUAUCAACCCACACAAUGUUGUAGCUAACGAGUUAAGUAUCCCACCUGGGGAGUACGUUCGCAAGAAUGAAACUCAAAGGAAUUGACGGGGGCCCGCACAAGCGGUGGAGCAUGUGGUUCAAUUCGAUGCAAAGCGAAG